AAGUCGUAACAAGGUCUCCGUAGGUGAACCUGCGGAGGGAUCAUUAACAUGUUUAUAUUCAUGAUAUAAACAUAUCUAUACAAACAAAUAGAAACGAAAGUGGCGAUGGAUAUAUUCAUUUAUAUACAUCAAUACUUAGUCCAUCUCCCUUACUAUAUCUAUAGCAAUAUAGAUGCAGUUUGGCUAUUUUUUCAUCAACUAUUAACCCCUUUCCAACUAAAUCAAACAAUCAAUGACUUAUAUGUGAGUGUGAAAUAAUUAAUUAUGCAAUAUAAUUAAUUCUUUCUGUCCUCUACAUUAUUAUAUUAAUGUAAAGCACAACUCUUAGCAACGGAUAUCUUGGUUCUC
rnacentral:misc_RNA from 1 species